rnacentral:rRNA from 1 species
UACGUAGGGAGCGAGCGUUGUCCGGAUUUACUGGGUGUAAAGGGUGCGUAGGCGGGCUGUCAAGUCAGAUGUGAAAUACCGGAGCUCAACUCCGGGGCUGCAUUUGAAACUGAUGGUCUUGAGUGAAGUAGAGGCAGGCGGAAUUCCUAGUGUAGCGGUGAAAUGCGUAGAUAUUAGGAGGAACACCAGUGGCGAAGGCGGCCUGCUGGGCUUUAACUGACGCUGAGGCACGAAAGCAUGGGGAGCAAACAGG